UACGAAGGGUGCAAGCGUUAAUCGGAAUUACUGGGCGUAAAGGGUGCGUAGGCGGUUCGUUAAGUCUGUUGUGAAAUCCCCGGGCUCAACCUGGGAAUGGCAAUGGAUACUGGCGGGCUAGAGUGUGUCAGAGGAUGGUGGAAUUCCCGGUGUAGCGGUGAAGUGCGUAGAUAUCGGGAGGAACACCAGUGGCGAAGGCGGGCAUCUGGGCCAACACUGACGCUGAGGCGCGAAAGCUAGGGGAGCAAACAGG
rnacentral:rRNA from 1 species